GAUGAACGCUGGCGGCGUGCCUAAUACAUGCAAGUCGAGCGAACAGAUAAGGAGCUUGCUCCUUUGACGUUAGCGGCGGACGGGUGAGUAACACGUGGGUAACCUACCUAUAAGACUGGGAUAACUUCGGGAAACCGGAGCUAAUACCGGAUAAUAUUUCGAACCGCAUGGUUCGAUAGUGAAAGAUGGUUUUGCUAUCACUUAUAGAUGGACCCGCGCCGUAUUAGCUAGUUGGUAAGGUAACGGCUUACCAAGGCGACGAUACGUAGCCGACCUGAGAGGGUGAUCGGCCACACUGGAACUGAGACACGGUCCAGACUCCUACGGGAGGCAGCAGUAGGGAAUCUUCCGCAAUGGGCGAAAGCCUGACGGAGCAACGCCGCGUGAGUGAUGAAGGUCUUCGGAUCGUAAAAAUCUGUUAUUAGGGAAGAACAUACGUGUAAGUAACUGUGCACGUCUUGACGGUACCUAAUCAGAAAGCCACGGCUAACUACGUG
rnacentral:rRNA from 1 species